CCGCCAUCGGUGAAGGAGAUGAUCUGCGUGGACACAUUGUGCUCAACGACUAAUUCAACUUCGGCCAUGACCUGCAGAUUUUCCACCACUCUGCCGCUUGCUUGGGACACCUAGUGGCAAAAAAUAGCGGAAGCAGUACCUGGCAGUAAAGGAAGGGGUUGGCGUUCUCUUGAACAUCUGCCUUCAGCUCAGUCUCAGACGACCACACGGCCACCGAUACCUGCGGCAAGGAACAAUGCCUUCUUUCAGAAAACCUCUCCUCGGAUGUCUUCAUGAAUGCGGGUGGCUUCGACCAUCACGCUCUCCGCCCCGCUGUUCUCGAUGGACAUGGAAUAAUCGAAGACGAAUACCUGGAAAAUGGCAGCUGGCU